GGUGGUUCUCAGGUGACGCACCCCAGAAUCAGGCUCCCUCUUCUCUGGUUCCAGGUGCGUCACCCGAGACCCUCC
rfam:Myotis brandtii contig267404, whole genome shotgun sequence.